UAGGGAAUCUUCCGCAAUGGGCGAAAGCCUGACGGAGCAACGCCGCGUGAGUGAUGAAGGUCUUCGGAUCGUAAAACUCUGUUAUUAGGGAAGAACAAAUGUGUAAGUAACUAUGCACGACUUGACGGUACCUAAUCAGAAAGCCACGGCUAACUACGUGCCAGCAGCCGCGGUAAUACGUAGGUGGCAAGCGUUAUCCGGAAUUAUUGGGCGUAAAGCGCGCGUAGGCGGUUUUUUAAGUCUGAUGUGAAAGCCCACGGCUCAACCGUGGAGGGUCAUUGGAAACUGGAAAACUUGAGUGCAGAAGAGGAAAGUGGAAUUCCAUGUGUAGCGGUGAAAUGCGCAGAGAUAUGGAGGAACACCAGUGGCGAAGGCGACUUUCUGGUCUGUAACUGACGCUGAUGUGCGAAAGCGUGGGGAUCAAACAGG
rnacentral:rRNA from 1 species